rnacentral:misc_RNA from 1 species
CAUAUUUCUCCUCCCCUUACCCUUCGUACGUCAGUUACCCAGACGAUGUUUUUCAUCUUUGUAGCAACCGAGGAGUUGGAGCCGUCCCUUCUGUGCUGCGCCUCGCUGCAUCCUCAACCGCACCGCUACUGCCAUCCGCUAACUGCUUGUGCCCACGACGUGCCUCUCUCUUUCUCUCGCCCAAAAAACACGCCAACUGUGCUAUAGCUAGCCUCAAGUACCGUUCGUGUGCAACCCAUUCAAGCACCUCGACGCCCUCCCCCACUCUCCCUCCUCUCUCCAAAACAACCACCACACUUGCGCCCCCUGCCUUCGACGCCCGCGCAGCCAGCACUCGGAGCCACCCCGUCCGGCAUGCGCUAAGCGCGUUGCUGCGCCGUGCGGAGGAGUCCCCGCCGCGCACGCCAUCAUUCGUCGCAUGUCGUCGAACUCUCGCGCCCAGAGCCCCACCGAGCCACCUUCGUUCGAGCUUGCCCCAAGGUCUACGUCUACCCCCUCUUCAUCUUCGUUGUGCGCGGCAUGUCAUGGCUAGGCAUUGGCUGAGCUCUACUCUCCCCUGCGCGCCGCCUUGCUGCUCCGUUCCCGGUCAGCGAUCUCUGCCCGCCCCGGCAAGCCGCCCGCGCAGUCUCGUCGCGCCGCUCCGGCGAGUUCUCACACCACCGCCCUACCUCCCUCGUCGGCGAAGCCCCACCCCGCCAUAUGUGAUGUUGCACGAUCCGCUUUUGCCGGCAUGCAAUAGAGGAAGAAAUCUGCAUUUGUGUCUCUUCCAUCUUGGCCAUGUGUCCACGUUUCGUUGGCUGCAUGUGUGGUCCUGUUACAGCACAUGCGUGAGAUUAGGAAAAGAAAGAACCGCCCGUGACUCCCAUCCCGUGCGUGUGUGUUUCCUGGAGAAGAAAUUGUCUUUCUCUCUCUCCCACUGAUGGUCACGUGACAUUGUUUCAUUGGCUCGCAGUUCGCUGUUCUGUGUUCUUGCCUACACUAGAUCCAGUCUAUUGCACAGGAUGUGGCUACGCCCCUAUGUUCUUUGUGUGGUCCUAGAAUCAAAUCCACGAUUAAAUAUGUGUUAAUUUUUAAGUUAGGCGUCCGAUUAUUCUAUCUUCAGUUGCGUUAGCUUUGUAAUAAUGUCGUGUACACGUUAACAAUAUUAUU